rnacentral:rRNA from 1 species
UACGUAGGGUCCGAGCGUUGUCCGGAAUUACUGGGCGUAAAGAGCUCGUAGGUGGUUUGUCGCGUUGUUCGUGAAAACUCACAGCUUAACUGUGGGCGUGCGGGCGAUACGGGCAGACUGGAGUACUGCAGGGGAGACUGGAAUUCCUGGUGUAGCGGUGGAAUGCGCAGAUAUCAGGAGGAACACCGGUGGCGAAGGCGGGUCUCUGGGCAGUAACUGACGCUGGAGGAGCGGAAAGCGUGGGGAGCGAACAGG